rnacentral:rRNA from 1 species
AGCGAACGCUGGCGGCAGGCCUAACACAUGCAGGUCGAGCGCCCCGCAAGGGGAGCGGCAGACGGGAGAGUAACACGUGGGAACGUACCCUUUGGUUCGGAACAACCCAGGGAAACUUGGGCUAAUACCGGAUAAGCCCUUACGGGGAAAGAUUCAUCGCCGAAGGAUCGGCCCGCGUCUGAUUAGCUAGUUGGUGGGGUAACGGCCCACCAAGGCGACGAUCAGUAGCUGGUCUGAGAGGAUGAUCAGCCUCACUGGGACUGAGACACGGCCCACACUCCUACGGGAGGCAGCAGUGGGGAAUAUUGGACAAUGGGCGCAAGCCUGAUCCAGCCAUGCCGCGUGGGUGAUGAAGGCCCUAGGGUUGUAAAGCCCUUUCGGCGGGGAAGAUAAUGACGGUACCCGCAGAAGAAGCCCCGGCUAACUUCGUGCCAGCAGCCGCCGUAA